UCCCCCCAUUCUUCCAACCCAAAUCUCAGCAAACCCUAAUCUUAAACAUUUGAAGACGCCACCGAACCAGUGACUACAAAUCGAAGCCGUGAAGUUUCUUUGUUCGAGUUGGUGUGUCAAUUGAAGGUUACGGUUCACUGAUUUGAUGAUUUGAAAAAGAACGCGAACAAGGUAUAAAGCGCCCAAAAAAUCUUGGUGAUGAGGACUUUGAGAAGGACAUGCAACCUUCCCCAACCCAUGAUACAUUAUACGUGCAUAAUUGUACAUGACUUUAAAAUAUCAUUCACAGCGACAAGAUAUAGCUAUAUAUGUACAUAAAUUAUUCAGUAAUUUAAUUACAUUAAUGUCUGAGAUUCAUACAUUCAAA